rnacentral:sRNA from 3 species
UGUAUCUGAAGUCUGACGAGGAUGAGAACCUCCGGGGGCAAGAGGUUCGACUCGAGCGGAGCGAGAGAACGUUGCGCAAGCAACGGCCCGCAGGGCGAGCCACGCAGUGGCGAGUCAUCCUCUAUCACCGACCA